UACGUAGGGCGCAAGCGUUAUCCGGAAUUAUUGGGCGUAAAGCGCACGUAGGCGGUUUGUUAAGUCGGAUGUGAAAGCCCUUGGCUCAACUAAGGAAGUGCAUCCGAAACUGGCAAGCUAGAGUACUAAAGAGGGUCGCGGAAUUCCCGGUGUAGAGGUGAAAUUCGUAGAUAUCGGGAGGAACACCGGUGGCGAAGGCGGCGACCUGGGUAGAUACUGACGCUGAGGUGCAAAAGCGUGGGGAGCAAACAGG
rnacentral:rRNA from 1 species